GUCUCAGUCGGAUUGGAGUCUGCAACUCGACUCCAUGAAGCUGGAUUCGCUAGUAAUCGCGCAUCAGCCAUGGCGCGGUGAAUACGUUCCCGGGCCUUGUACACACCGCCCGUCAAGCCAUGGAAGCCGGGGGUGCCUGAAGUGCGUGACCGCAAGGAGCGCCCUAAGGUAAAACCGGUGACUGGGGCUAAGUCGUAACAAGGUACC
rnacentral:rRNA from 1 species